GGUCAAGGACACCAAGGGAGGCUGGCCGCCAGCCACACGCGCCCACUCAGUACUCUUCCCCUUCUUCGGCCUCUGCUUCCACGGAA